GGGGAGUUAGUCUAGACAGGUAUGACGAUGGGCUCCAGACCCGUAAAGAAUGAGUAUGUCUCAUUCUUGGGCAAAGGUCAUCGGUUCAAAUCCGGUACUCCCCACCA
rnacentral:tRNA from 1 species